UACGUAGGGGGCGAGCGUUGUCCGGAUUUAUUGGGCGUAAAGCGCGCGUAGGCGGCGCGGUAUGUCGUGCGUGAAAUCUCCCGGCUUAACUGGGAGGGGCCGUGCGAAACUGCCGGGCUUGAGGUCAGAAGGGGAAAGUGGAAUUCCGGGUGUAGUGGUGGAAUACGUAGAUAUCCGGAGGAACACCAGCGGCGAAGGCGACUUCCUGGCCUGUUCUUGACGCUGAGGCGCGAAAGCUAGGGUAGCAAACGGG
rnacentral:rRNA from 1 species